rnacentral:rRNA from 1 species
UACGGAGGGUGCGAGCGUUGUCCGGAAUCACUGGGCGUAAAGAGCUCGUAGGCGGUUUGUCGCGUCUGCCGUGAAAGUCCGGGGCUCAACUCCGGAUCUGCGGUGGGUACGGGCAGACUAGAGUGAUGUAGGGGAGACUGGAAUUCCUGGUGUAGCGGUGAAAUGCGCAGAUAUCAGGAGGAACACCGAUGGCGAAGGCAGGUCUCUGGGCAUUAACUGACGCUGAGGAGCGAAAGCAUGGGGAGCGAACAGG